rnacentral:rRNA from 1 species
GUGGGGAAUAUUGGACAAUGGGCGCAAGCCUGAUCCAGCCAUGCCGCGUGAGUGAUGAAGGCCUUAGGGUUGUAAAGCUCUUUCAGUAGGGAAGAUAAUGACGGUACCUACAGAAGAAGCCCCGGCUAACUUCGUGCCAGCAGCCGCGGUAAUACGAAGGGGGCUAGCGUUGUUCGGAUUUACUGGGCGUAAAGCGCACGUAGGCGGUUUGUUAAGUCAGGGGUGAAAUCCCGGAGCUCAACUCCGGAACUGCCUUUGAUACUGGCAAGCUAGAGUCCGGAAGAGGUAAGUGGAACUCCUAGUGUAGAGGUGGAAUUCGUAGAUAUUAGGAAGAACACCAGUGGCGAAGGCGGCUUACUGGUCCGGAACUGACGCUGAGGUGCGAAAGCGUGGGGAGCAAACAGGAUUAGAUACCCUUGUAGGUCC